AGAGUUUGAUUCUGGCUCAGAACGAACGCUGGCGGCGUGCCUAACACAUGCAAGUCGAGCGAGAAAGUUCCCUUCGGGGAGCGAGUACAGCGGCGAACGGGUGAGUAACACGUGAGUAAUCUGCCCUUGGGUCCGGGAUAACAUCUCGAAAGGGGUGCUAAUACCGGGUAGGACCACGGAGCCACAUGGCUCUGAGGUGAAAGAUGGCCUCUCCUUGGAAGCUGUCGCCUGGGGAUGGGCUCGCGCACCAUUAGCUUGUUGGUGGGGUCAUGGCCUACCAAGGCGACGAUGGUUAGCCGACCUGAGAGGGUGAUCGGCCACACUGGAACUGAGACACGGUCCAGACUCCUACGGGAGGCAGCAGUGGGGAAUAUUGCGCAAUGGGGGAAACCCUGACGCAGCAACGCCGUGUGAGCGAUGAAGGCCUUCGGGUUGUAAAGCUCUGUCAGGAGGGACGAAAUGCUCCGGUCGAAUACACCGGAGAGCUGACGUACUC
rnacentral:rRNA from 1 species